GGGGACCGCCGGACAGUUCGUGAGGUUUUGGCCCUCUCUAAAGCCAAUUCCCCGGGGCUUAUAUUCUUAUCUGAAACCAGACAAGCCUCAAAUAAAAUGGAGCGACUCAAGUGGAGAUUACAGAUGAAGGGUUUUAUGGGGGUGUCGAGCCAGGGUCUGAGCGGAGGCCUUGCCCUUUACUGGGACGAA
rnacentral:rRNA from 1 species